GAUGAACGCUGGCGGCGUGCUUAACACAUGCAAGUCGAACGGAAAGGCCAUUGCUUGCACUGGUACUCGAGUGGCGAACGGGUGAGUAACACGUGGGUGAUCUGCCCUGUACUUUGGGAUAAGCUUGGGAAACUGGGUCUAAUACCGGAUAGGACAACUUUUUGGAUAUUGUUGUGGAAAGCUUUUGCGGUAUGGGAUGAGCUCGCGGCCUAUCAGCUUGUUGGUGGGGUAAUGGCCUACCAAGGCGUCGACGGGUAGCCGGCCUGAGAGGGUGUACGGCCACAUUGGGACUGAGAUACGGCCCAGACUCCUACGGGAGGCAGCAGUGGGGAAUAUUGCACAAUGGGCGCAAGCCUGAUGCAGCGACGCCGCGUGGGGGAUGAAGGCCUUCGGGUUGUAAACUCCUUUCGCUAGGGACGAAGCGGAAGUGACGGUACCUGGAGAAGAAGCACCGGCUAACUACGUG
rnacentral:rRNA from 1 species